CCUACGGGAGGCAGCAGUAGGGAAUGGUGUGCAAUGGGGGAAACCCUGACGCAGCAACACCGCGUGAAUGGUAAGAGCUUUGGGGUGUAAAGUUCUGUCAAUAGGGACGAAGGGUGACGGUACCUAUAAAGGAAGCACCGGCCAACGCCGGGCCAGCAGCCGCGGUAAUACGGGGGGGGCAAGGGUUUUCCGGAAUCAUUGGGCGUAACGCGGUCGUAGGCGGUAUGUCAAGUCUGCUGUUAAAGCCCGGGGCUCAACGCCGGUUCGGCAUUGGAUACUGGCAAACUAGAAUGGGGUAGAGGUAACGGGCAUUCCUGGUGUAGCGGUGAAAUGCGUAGAUAUCAGGCGGAACAUCGGUGGCGAAGGCGCUUUACUGGACCAUUAUUGACGCUGAGGCACGAAAGCCAGGGGAGCAAAUCGGAUUAGAUACCCCGGUAGUC
rnacentral:rRNA from 1 species